rnacentral:rRNA from 1 species
GACGAACGCUGGCGGCGUGCUUAACACAUGCAAGUCGAACGGAAAGGCCCUGCUUUUGUGGGGUGCUCGAGUGGCGAACGGGUGAGUAACACGUGAGUAACCUGCCCUUGACUUUGGGAUAACUUCAGGAAACUGGGGCUAAUACCGGAUAGGAGCUCCUGCUGCAUGGUGGGGGUUGGAAAGUUUCGGCGGUUGGGGAUGGACUCGCGGCUUAUCAGCUUGUUGGUGGGGUAGUGGCUUACCAAGGCUUUGACGGGUAGCCGGCCUGAGAGGGUGACCGGCCACAUUGGGACUGCGGUACGGCCCAGACUCCUACGGGAGGCAGCAGUGGGGAAUAUUGCACAAUGGGCGGAAGCCUGAUGCAGCAACGCCGCGUGCGGGAUGACGGCCUUCGGGUUGUAAACCGCUUUCGCCUGUGACGAAGCGUGGGUGACGGUAAUGGGUAAAGAAGCACCGGCUAACUACGUG